UACUCAGUUAGUUUACAUUCGUAGAUUUAAUAAAUGACUUUAUAACAAAGGCAACUAAUUAUAAAGUAUGUUUAUAUAUUUAGCGUAUCACAGAAAACUUAAAGACGGUUUUAAAGAUAUCACUGAAUUGAAAAAUCAAGAAUCUAAUUACGUGUCUAACGUAAAGCAGGCUGAACAUGAUUCUAUUGAAAAAAGAACGAAAGGUACCUGUUAUGCAUUAACCGAAACAGAAUAUUAUGAUGUAAUUUUAAGUAAGUAAUUACGUUUUUUAAGUUCUAUCAUUAUUGUUUAAGCAUCAACAACAAGGUUAUUACUUUAUUAGUUACUUAUGGCUAUUGAUCGUGGUAUUGCAUGAGCAGGUUAUGGUCCAGCUCAUUGUUGUUUCUUAUUAAACAAAAAACAAUAAAAAAACAUGUUUAGCAUGCAAACACGACUUAAGCGCAUUUAUACUUGUGACUUAAUAUGACUUGCGAGUGCGGAUUUUAUUUUAUUAAAAUUGCUGGCUUACAUUAAAAAAAAAUAACUUUAGGUAGCAAGUAUUGGUACGAGUAUAUUGUAUAUUAAAUAAAAAUAACUAACAUUAAAUUGUUUAAUUUUAUUGUUUGGGAAUGUAAAUAGUGUAUCAUAGUAAGUAUAUAUGUUUAUAUUA